AUUAUAGAGAUUUCUACUUUACUGGCUCAGCUUAUGGUAAAUGAGCCUCUGAUGGAUGUGCUGUUAAACAGGAACUGCAGUUGUACUGCUCACACAGCCAGAAACAUCCGUUCUGAUUCUUGUUGUUUGUCACUCACACUCUUUCAGAAUUGCCAUGAUCAACAAUUCUCUUUUUUUUAUUUAUUUAUUUUUUCCUCAGACCUAAGCUUACCUCCUGUUUGUGGUCAGGACCCUAAUAACACAGAGAAUUCUGCAUAUCUGGGGCCACUGAAAUAAUGUAUAGGCAGAUUUUUGCAGAGAGAGCAAGACAGAAGGAAUUUGGGGAAGGAAAAAUGAAAAAAAAAGAAAAAAAAAAAAAGACAAACCUUUCAAUAUUCCAUUUCUACUUGUCAUCUUCAGCAUGGCAAGGCUAGGCUUGUAAGACUGUACGUGUAAUACCAAAUUCCUAUGCUAGGAAACAAAAAGCAUACUUUGGUACUGAGUUUAACUGGCACAAAAUAACUGUGCCAGUUCUGUUAAACUCUUUUGCCCUCUAAAACAGACUGGUGGAAUCCAAAUUGUCAGCUGGGAUGGAUUCCAAGGAGCAUGCCUGGGAACUGUCUGGGGGAGCCCCAGUUGGUGUCCACGUGGUAAUCACAAGUGUCAUCCUGACACUGGUGUAUCCAUCUCCUCUUCCGCAGCUCGUACCUAGCCAGGGUAGGACCUACACAGUAGGAUGCUGUGGUAGUAGCAAGUUACACAUACCCAAACAAAGAUGUGGCUUACAUGGAAAAGAAAAAGGCCUUUUUGCCUUUUUUAGAGAAGACAAUGAAGAAACAGACCCAGACUUCAAUUUUUUCCCUUGCCUGUGUGUCUGAGCCACCAAACCAAUGCACAAAAACACUAUUUCCAAAUCUCAAACUGUUUCCCUUGGAAAAUUGGUGGGUGGCUAAUUCACCGGACAUGGUUCUUAAAUUAUUGUAUGUACCAGAACUUUCUGCAUGUUCAUUUCUUACCUGUUUUACUACUUCAGCACAUGAAAAUAACAGGCUUUCAUGGCAUAUAAACUGCUGGUGGAAAUGUGAGUUUUUUGUCAUAUUUUGUGUGAGCAACUGUAAUUCUUAGGGUUGAGCUUGCAAGGUAAAACCUAUUCAGCAGCCUCAGCAGAAAAUUUUUCUGGUUGCUUCAGUGUUUUGGCACUUCUAAAUCAAGUCAGGAAUAAAUAAAAAUAAAAAUAAAAAUUAUAAUAAUAAAAAAAGAGUUAAGAAGGCUGUAGUUUCAUCCAAGCAAAUUCAGUUCAGUUCAGAGAAACUGUUUGCAGGUCAGUGGGUCGUAUCAAAGAAUGCUAUAGAAUAACUUAAUCUGGUGCUGUCUGUUAAGUUUAAGUUUAUAUAUCACAUUCAGGUCCCUGGCCAGAAGAGGAACUGUAAAACUUUGGCUUUCUGUUUAAGCUGUCCUGAUGUAUAUUACCCACAACAAAGUAUUCGUCCUUUUCCUAUACAACACUGCCUUGUUCUGUGUCAGGGACAGAAAUGUAGGAAUGUGGAUCCCAGCCAAGCUGGUAGGGAGAGAAUUCCCUCGACCUGGAGGACUCCAGCCCUCUCCAUGUCUGCAUCUUUUGUUCAGCAUGUUGGGCCAUUUGUAGUGCAUGCUCCUCCAUGCUGCACGCAGCUGCUAUUCCCCCUCCUGCAUCUGCAGUUCCCACAGGCGGCCUGGGUGGCCAUGCUGGGUUUGUGCAUUGUGGGGUAGCCAGGAUGUGGCUAAUGAGAGGGCAAAUGUGGGGAAGGCCAGGGCUUGGCUAUAUGUGCAUAAUAUCAAGUAAGUCAGUGUUCACAGGCUGGAAAUACCACAGUGUCUGAGCUAAGGGAAGCUCUUUGUUUGCUUUUGCUUGCAAUAGUGACUGAAUUGCUUAAGCCUAAUAGAAGACUCUUUUAUUUUAUGCUCUGUGAGGCUGAGCCAUCACAAAUCAAUUACAGAAAGCCUAUAGGAGAUCUCAUCUCUAGCUCCUCCCAGGAAGGGCAGCUGAGAAUGAUUCCCGAUGAAUAAACUCUAUAGUUCCCAAAGAGGGUUGAGUUCCUUGAGCUCUAAGUGUUUCCUUCUGUUUCAAACUCACUCAGAAAGAGAUGAGUCUCAGGUGAGGUAGUGGUGGUAGAAAAACAGGCAUUUUACACAUCUUCAUCAGUUGGAAGUUCCUGCCUGCCCCUCUGAUAUGCUCUGUAACCUUAGGAAACAUAUUCACACAGGAUCCUCCCAGAGGGUGAAGUCUUCUCUUGCGUGUUCAAAGCAGCAAAGCAGCAGGGCUCUGGACUCUUGUUCGACACAGAGAUGGCGUUUUACUUCAGAGUUCUCCUUGGAGGCUGAAUGCAACAAUUUCUGGGAAGUUUAGGGUUAAAGAAGAAAGCGCUCUGACAAGCAAUAUGUUGUGUGCUGCAGUGCUUGGUUUUAGUCCAAAGAGAGAAAAGUGGCAGAAGGGAGGUCCAACACAUUUAAUAUCCUAAGAGCUGAGAGAGAAGUAACAGUAAAGUUCAGACUGAAUAAUGCAGAUUCAAGAGAUGCUUCCAGUUGUAAAGGGUGGAGAAGUCGUGAUGCCUUCACCUCUUUAGAUAUUUGCAAGCGCAGAAUUCUCACAGACUUCGAGACGCGACAUUGAUGAGAGCAUGCUGUCUCUUGCCUAAACAAUUUCAAUUGAUUUUAUUAAGAAAAAGAAAUCUUGGAAUAGCAUCUGCUUUAAAAGACAAUAUCUCUCUUUCUUAUUCUGACAUAAUAAGUGCUGACAGAAAAGAGAACAGAAGUGUAUCUUCUGUGAGAUGUCUCAAGUAUCUGACAGCUGCAUUCAGUGCUGCAUCUGGGCUGGAAUUCUCAAGAGUGCAAAGGCACAGGUAGUCAAAUUCUGAGCAAGUUGGGGCCUUUGUUCUGGGGGUGUUCUGAAGCUUAGACUUACUCCUUGCUGCAAGAAAUAUUCUUUGCUGCAUGGUAAUCCUCACCAAACAAAAAAGUAAUGUUACCUAGGGCAGGAGUCCUCCGAAGUAUAGUAGAUCAAAGAUAGGAUAACAUGCACAAGAUAGCCUUGCUAAUAAAGUUUAUGAAAUUCCUGCUGCUUUACUCAGAGAAGACAAUCAACAAACAGUUUAAUGGAAACACACCCUAUGGUGAGUGGUGUCAUGGCCAUGGAAAGAGAGGUAUCAAUCCCAUGUGGUCCCUAAGGGCUAUGCCAAAUGGAGGGAAAGAUGCCCAAGGCUACUUCUGCUUCUUAGGAAGAAGUAUCACUGGUUCUUUUAGUAGCAAGAAUGCUGCAGGAAGGUCAAAGACAAGGUUUACUGUCUUGGAAGCUAACAAUGAGCAAACUGGCUGUAUGUCAACCUACUGGGACAACUAGUAUGUUAGGAAUGAAUAUAUGUGCUCCCGGCAAAGGAAUAUCUAACAACAUAAAAGAUGAAUGCUGUGCUGAUUGUGAUAUGGUCUUCAAGAAUCUUGCAAAGUGUGAUAUCAAAAUAGUGGUGGAUGGCUGUGGUGCCAAAGUAGAAAAGGAAGAUGUGGGAGACAAUGGAAAGGAUCUGAUGUCUAUAAUGUAACAAUUAACAAUGACAUGAGAUUAAUUGAUUUUGUAACAAUUAAGGAUGGACUUGAAUAGCACAGAAACUUUCUUUAAAAUGUUAUCAGGCAUACAUGUCUAUCUACAGAGGUAGUUUCUAGUAAUCAUAUUGUAAAUUUUUUCUCAAGGCAAAAACUGGAAGUCUAAGAAUUGAUCAUAGAGUGAUAGCACAAACAUGAUGAGAAAAUUCAAUAGACCACUUACAGAUAAAACACAGCAUCCUGGAAGUAUAUGAAAAACAGGCUGGAAAAGGUAGCAGUUAUAAAUAGACUUCAGAAGAAAUCAUGGCAGACUGAAUCAAAGAAGAUAAUUCAGGAGAAUUCCAAGUAUGAGAAACAAAGGAUCAUUUAACAGUAUAUGGGAAAGUAAUUGGAAACUGACAUGCAAAGCGAGAACGCAAAUUCCAAGUUGGUCUCAUGCUAAGUGUGAUAAAACCAAAAAAAAGGACCUGAAGUACUUAGGUCCAGUAGGACUAUGCAGAGUAAAAUGCAUAUAAUGUAGGAGUAUUUUAUGAGAGCUACAACACUUGGAGAAAAGAUCAGCCGUGAGUGUGAAAAAGGACAGUGCAAGAAUGCAGUACUGGACAGAGGGAGGGAGUUCUUUAAUGACUUUCUUAGUACAGAUAGCUUAGCUGUUUGUAGAAGAGAAAAGUUUAAGAGGUUUAAGAGGCAGUUGGAAUUCUCGGAAACAACAAGGAAAAAAAGGUUGGAAAUGUUAGAACUGAAUUACUGAAAUCAGAGAGAUGGUGGAAAGGACUUUGUGGGAUGGUGGGAUAAGAUAGCUUAAAGACUAUUUAAAAUGACUUUGUUGAAUUGAAAAUAGUUCCUCCAGCAUUUUUUAUAAAGUGUUAGAAUAGAUUAUAAGAAGGAUCACAAAACUUCCUGCACAGUACAGUUUAUUAAUUCCUGUUUGUGACAUUUUAUACACCCAUCCGUUACACAAAGGAGAUAACAAAUGAAUAGCAAUGUGGUUUCUGGAAAAUAAGAGUCGGAGUAGACAGAAAGAUUGACUCCUUCGUGUCUCCUUAAGGUGUCCUGGGAGUCAUGGUACAAUUAUAAAAUUUGCAAGAGGGACUGAAAUUAGAUGAUUGUCACCAGUCCUUCUGAUGUUACUAAUGGUUUUAGUGGCUGCAAAAGUAAGACAAUUCCUUCCACUGUUGUUUGAGGCUGGGCAAUCAAAAAUAAGUGAAAUAGAAACAGUAAAUUGAAAUAAUGUUUUUAAUACACAUGAUCAGCUAUGCAAAAAUAUGCUAUGACAAGAGUUUGGGGCAAAUUGAGAGAAUCUGUGAAUCAUUAUGAUCUCUAAAACCAUUAAAGAAGGAAGGAAACAAGUAUGUGGAAAUGAAAUGGACCACCAGCAGAGAUUCAUGUUCUGCAGGCAUAGCCACAUGCAACCAAAACCAGCCCUAUAACAGGCAAGUACAUUGCGAUUAUGGUCUGCCAAAUGGUGAGCAAGCCAAAUUGUAAGCCAUAUUACCAUUUACAUUGCUCCUGAGUUUAUUCAUCUAGUUUUUAUAAUAAACAAAAAUUGAGUCUCAUACUCUAAGAGGUUCUACUUUGGUUUGAAUAUAUUCCUUGAGUCCAAAAAGAUGUGGGGAAAGUUAAGGUGUUGCUGAUACAAGUGUGUUUGAGGUGAAUGUGAGAUGGAUUUUAGGUGCUCAUAAUGCAGAGUGUGCUGCUGCUCUGGCCACAAUAUUGGAAGUAUUAAGAAAAAAAAAAAAAAAAAAAAAAAAGUAGUUUAUUGUUCAUUUGAAACAUGCUGCAGAUGCUGUGCAAGGAGCUAAUCUGCCCAGAAUUAUCAAGCAGGCUUAGAUUUCAGGAUAGACUUAAUUGCUAUUAUGAAAGAAAUAUCUUUCCCACUUAUUUUCUGGAGACUGUAUCUUACUGUCUAAGUAUUUGCAAAUGCACAUAUUGCUGCCCUGAAAUACACCGUAGUGCAUUCCUCCAGGCUCUUUUAUUUAAAACAUUGGCCCUGGAGCUGAAUAAUACCUUUGUAGCAAUUUGAGCUAUUACAGUAGUGCACAUUGGAAAUUGUAUUUUUCCUAAUACAAAAAGGCAACAAAGACACAUUCCUAAAUCAGGGCAAACAGCUGUUCUUUUGCUGUUAUUGUUUGUUUAUUUUUCUGUGGUUUUGUUUGUUUUCCCUUUAAGAUCACAUUUAAAUUUUGGCUGUUCAUGCUUGAGAGUUCUUCUUGAUGUAUCUAAAGCAGGCGUAUGGAAGCUGUCCUUGUCCACUCAGGUGCUGUUAACCACAGUUGAGGAUGUGUUUUCACAGGACCAUGAAGAAAGCAUUACAUCUGGACUUGGAAAUCUACAACAGGGUUUUUCUUUCCUCUAAGCGAUUGUAUAACAGAAUUAUUUUUAACUAGUAGUUUGUCUUCUAUCUACAAUUGAAAAUAGAAAUAAAAACUAUGCUAGGGAUUUCUGGGAAGUCCGUGGCACAGAGAACAGAAAUUAUUUUACAAAUAUCUUCCAGAUUUGAAGACAGAGUAGAGCAAAUGAGACCAUACAAGCUGACCUGAAUUUGAAGCUAAAUCUAUAUUUUAAGAAUACCAAAACAACCAGGGGUGAGUCACUGGGUAGGCAAAAGUAACCACAACGUUUGUGCACAGUCUAUACAGUGAGCUUGACAGGGUUUCCAAAACCUUUAAUUUCUGUUGGUUUAGAGGAACUAAACACAACCUUUAAACAAAAUGCUGUGUUUUUACAAAGUCUGUGCUUUGCAGAAAUGAGAAGGAUACUGAAAGCAUUAACCCUUCAGUGCUGUAAUCACAACAAAGUUUGAGCAUCUGUGAGAUACUACCUAGACUGUUAUCUUGAAUAAAUCACUACAAUUUGUGCAACUUUUCUCACCUAAUGAGAACACAUAAUGCCAACUUUGCAGGUACUUAUUAAAAUGAAUGAAUCCAUGUCAGUAAACAAAAAAUUCUGCCA